rfam:Blautia sp. CAG:37, WGS project CBJJ01000000 data, contig: 129
AACUUCCUGGAAUGUUCGAUGAUCUCAUUAUUUUGAACCUACAUUUACUUUAAACGGGAGGCUUAUUAUUGUCAUGUGGAUGUCAGGCCACCCUGGAAACAGACGUCAGUGGAAGGCAGAAAUGAUGACUGCGGCUACCCACCUAGCUUGCGUUGCUAGGAGUCAAAGUAUGGGAAACGGCAUUCCGGGGUUACA